CAUCCUCCAAGGCUAAAUACUCCUGACUGACCGAUAGUGAACCAGUACCGUGAGGGAAAGGCGAAAAGAACCCCGGCGAGGGGAGUGAAAAAGAACCUGAAACCGUGUACGUACAAGCAGUGGGAGCACCCUUCGGGGUGUGACUGCGUACCUUUUGUAUAAUGGGUCAGCGACUUAUAUUCUGUAGCAAGGUUAACCGUAUAGGGGAGCCGGAGGGAAACCGAGUCUUAAUUGGGCGUUAAGUUGCAGGGUAUAGACCCGAAACCCGGUGAUCUAGCCAUGGGCAGGUUGAAGGUUGGGUAACACUAACUGGAGGACCGAACCGACUAAUGUUGAAAAAUUAGCGGAUGACCUGUGGCUGGGGGUGAAAGGCCAAUCAAACCGGGAGAUAGCUGGUUCUCCCCGAAAGCUAUUUAGGUAGCGCCUCGUGAAUUCAUCUCCGGGGGUAGAGCACUGUUUCGGCUAGGGGGCCAUCCCGGCUUACCAACCCGAUGCAAACUGCGAAUACCGGAGAAUGUUAUCACGGGAGACACACGGCGGGUGCUAACGUCCGUCGUGAAGAGGGAAACAACCCAGACCGCCAGCUAAGGUCCCAAAGUCAUGGUUAAGUGGGAAACGAUGUGGGAAGGCCCAGACAGCCAGGAUGUUGGCUUAGAAGCAGCCAUCAUUUAAAGAAAGCGUAAUAGCUCACUGGUCGAGUCGGCCUGCGCGGAAGAUGUAACGGGGCUAAACCAUGCACCGAAGCUGCGGCAGCGAACGUAUCACCCAAGACAACUUUACGGAGUUGACGAUUGACGGAGCGAAGCGACGUCAAAGCGUUCAUUAAAGUCGAGUUGGCUUAGGGAU
rnacentral:rRNA from 1 species